rnacentral:rRNA from 1 species
CCCUUAGAUGUCCUGGGCUGCACGCGCGCUACACUGAUGUGUCCAGUAAGCACCUAACCUCUUCCGAAAGGAACGGGUAACCUUUGCAAAGCACAUCGUGAUGGGGAUAGAUUAUUACAAUUAUUAGUCUUGAACGAGGAAUUCCUAGUAAGCACAAGUCAUCAGCUUGUGUUGAUUACGUCCCUGCCCUUUGUACACACCGCCCGUCGCUCCUACCGAUUGAAUGUUCCGGUGAGCUCUUCGGACUGCGCGGUCUGCAGUUUCUGCGUUCCGUGCGGAAAGUUGCGCAAACCUUAACAUUUAGAGGAAGGAGAAGUCGUAACA